UACGUAGGGUGCAAGCGUUGUCCGGAAUUAUUGGGCGUAAAGAGCUCGUAGGCGGUUUGUCGCGUCUGCUGUGAAAACGCGAGGCUCAACCUCGCGCCUGCAGUGGGUACGGGCAGACUAGAGUGCGGUAGGGGAGACUGGAAUUCCGUGGUGUAGCGGUGAGAUGCGCAGAUAUCAGGAGGAACACCGGUGGCGAAGGCGGGUCUCUGGGACGGUACUGACGCUGAGACGCGAAAGCGUGGGGAGCGAACAGG
rnacentral:rRNA from 1 species